GGCCUAUACAUGUCAUUAUUAACCUUGGCCAAAAUACUCAAAAACUAACGAAAUGGUUGCUAGAUAGUGUGAUAGGUCUCCAACGAGCUUCCAACCGGUUGAGCUUUCGAUAAUCUAUAAAACAAAGGAAAAUAACUACGUAAGCAAUGAGUGCUUAGUAAGCUCGUAUAAACUUAAACUUAACUUACCAUGUUAUUCAUACAAUUCAUAGAUUAAGCAUAAAUCAU
rnacentral:lncRNA from 1 species